rnacentral:rRNA from 1 species
GACGUAGGGUGCAAGCGUUGUCCGGAUUUACUGGGCGUAAAGAGCGCGUAGGCGGUCUUGUAAGUGUGAAGUGAAAUCUCCAGGGCUCAACCCGGAAACUGCUUUGCAUACUGCGAGACUAGAGGGAUGCAGAGGUUUGUGGAAUUCCUGGUGUAGCGGUGAAAUGCGUUGAUAUCAGGAGGAACACCGGUGGCGAAGGCGGGUCUCUGGGGCCGAUACUGACGCUGAGGAGCGAAAGCGUGGGGAGCGAACAGG